UAAUAAGUUUGCACGCUUUAAUCGGAAUUACUGGGCGUAAAGCGCGCGUAGGUGGUUCGUUAAGUUGGAUGUGAAAGCCCCGGGCUCAACCUGGGAACUGCAUCCAAAACUGGCGAGCUAGAGUACGGUAGAGGGUGGUGGAAUUUCCUGUGUAGCGGUGAAAUGCGUAGAUAUAGGAAGGAACACCAGUGGCGAAGGCGACCACCUGGACUGAUACUGACACUGAGGUGCGAAAGCGUGGGGAGCAAACAGGAUGAGAUACCCGCGUAGUCC
rnacentral:rRNA from 1 species